GCUAAUGUUGCCCGUACCGUAAACCGACACAGGUGGGUGGGAUGAGUAUUCUAAGGCGCGUGGAAGAACUCUCUUUAAGGAACUCUGCAAAAUAGCACCGUAUCUUCGGUAUAAGGUGUGGUUCGCUUCGUAUUAGGAUUUACUCCGAAAGCGAAGAAACUUACAACAAAGAGUCCCUCCCGACUGUUUACCAAAAACACAGCACUCUGCUAACUCGUAAGAGGAUGUAUAGGGUGUGACGCCUGCCCGGUGCUCGAAGGUUAAUUGAUGGGGUUAGCAUUAGCGAAGCUCUUGAUCGAAGCCCGAGUAAACGGCGGCCGUAACUAUAACGGUCCUAAGGUAGCGAAAUUCCUUGUCGGUUAAAUACCGACCUGCAUGAAUGGCGUAACGAGAUGGGAGCUGUCUCAAAGAGGGAUCCAGUGAAAUUGUAGUGGAGGUGAAAAUUCCUCCUACCCGCGGCAAGACGGAAAGACCCCGUGGACCUUUACUACAGCUUGACACUGCUAUUUGGAUAAGAAUGUGCAGGAUAGGUGGGAGGCUUUGAGUAUAUGACGCCAGUUGUAUAUGAGCCAUUGUUGAGAUACCACUCUUUCUUAUUUGGGUAGCUAACCAGCUUGAGUUAUCCUCAAGUGGGACAAUGUCUGGUGGGUAGUUUGACUGGGGCGGUCGCCUCCCAAAUAAUAACGGAGGCUUACAAAGGUUGGCUCAGAACGGUUGGAAAUCGUUCGUAGAGUAUAAAGGUAUAAGCCAGCUUAACUGCAAGACAUACAAGUCAAGCAGAGACGAAAGUCGGUCUUAGUGAUCCGGUGGUUCUGUGUGGAAGGGCCAUCGCUCAAAGGAUAAAAGGUACCCCGGGGAUAACAGGCUGAUCUCCCCCAAGAGCUCACAUCGACGGGGAGGUUUGGCACCUCGAUGUCGGCUCAUCGCAUCCUGGGGCUGGAGCAGGUCCCAAGGGUAUGGCUGUUCGCCAUUUAAAGCGGUACGCGAGCUGGGUUCAGAACGUCGUGAGACAGUUCGGUCCCUAUCUGCCGUGGGCGUAAGAAGAUUGAAGAGAUUUGACCCUAGUACGAGAGGACCGGGUUGAACAAACCACUGGUGUAGCUGUUGUUCUGCCAAGAGCAUCGCAGCGUAGCUAAGUUUGGAAAGGAUAAACGCUGAAAGCAUCUAAGCGUGAAGCCAACUCUAAGAUGAAUCUUCUCUAAGCUCUCUAGAAGACUACUAGUUUGAUAGGCUGGGUGUGUAAUGGAUGAAAGUCCUUUAGCUGACCAGUACUAAUAGAGCGUUUGGCUUAUCUUU
rnacentral:rRNA from 1 species